rnacentral:rRNA from 1 species
GAUGAACGCUGGCGGCGUGCCUAAUACAUGCAAGUCGAGCGAACAGACGAGGAGCUUGCUCCUCUGACGUUAGCGGCGGACGGGUGAGUAACACGUGGAUAACCUACCUAUAAGACUGGGAUAACUUCGGGAAACCGGAGCUAAUACCGGAUAAUAUAUUGAACCGCAUGGUUCAAUAGUGAAAGACGGUUUUGCUGUCACUUAUAGAUGGAUCCGCGCCGCAUUAGCUAGUUGGUAAGGUAACGGCUUACCAAGGCAACGAUGCGUAGCCGACCUGAGAGGGUGAUCGGCCACACUGGAACUGAGACACGGUCCAGACUCCUACGGGAAGCAGCAGUAGGGAAUCUUCCGCAAUGGGCGAAAGCCUGACGGAGCAACGCCGCGUGAGUGAUGAAGGUCUUCGGAUCGUAAAACUCUGUUAGUAGGGAAGAACAAAUGUGUAAGUAACUAUGCACGUCUUGACGGUACCUAAUCAGAAAGCCACGGCUAACUACGUG